AUGAACGCUGGCGGCGUGCCUAAUACAUGCAAGUCGAGCGAACAGACGAGGAGCUUGCUCCUCUGACGUUAGCGGCGGACGGGUGAGUAACACGUGGAUAACCUACCUAUAAGACUGGGAUAACUUCGGGAAACCGGAGCUAAUACCGGAUAAUAUAUUGAACCGCAUGGUUCAAUAGUGAAAGACGGUUUUGCUGUCACUUAUAGAUGGAUCCGCGCCGCAUUAGCUAGUUGGUAAGGUAACGGCUUACCAAGGCAACGAUGCGUAGCCGACCUGAGAGGGUGAGCGGCCACACUGGAACUGAGACACGGUCCAGACUCCUGCGGGAGGCAGCAGUAGGGAAUCUUCCGCAAUGGGCUAAAGCCUGACGGAGCAACGCCGCGUGAGUGAUGAAGGUCUUCGGAUCGUAAAACUCUGUUAUUAGGGAAGAACAAAUGUGUAAGUAACUAUGCACGUCUUGACGGUACCUAAUCAGAAAGCCACGGCUAACUACGUG
rnacentral:rRNA from 1 species